rnacentral:rRNA from 1 species
GAUGAACGCUGGCGGCGUGCCUAAUACAUGCAAGUCGAGCGAACAGACGAGGAGCUUGCUCCUCUGACGUUAGCGGCGGACGGGUGAGUAACACGUGGAUAACCUACCUAUAAGACUGGGAUAACUUCGGGAAACCGGAGCUAAUACCGGAUAAUAUAUUGAACCGCAUGGUUCAAUAGUGAAAGACGGUUUUGCUGUCACUUAUAGAUGGAUCCGCGCCGCAUUAGCUAGUUGGUAAGGUAACGGCUUACCAAGGCAACGAUGCGUAGCCGACCUGAGAGGGUGAUCGGCCACACUGGAACUGAGACACGGUCCAGACUCCUACGGGAGGCAGCAGUAGGGAAUCUUCCGCAAUGGGCAAAAGCCUGACGGAGCAACGCCGCGUGAGUGGUGAAGGUCUUCGGAUCGUAAAACUCUGUUAUUAGGGAAGAACAAAUGUGUAAGUAACUAUGCACGUCUUGACGGUACCUAAUCAGAAAGCCACGGCUAACUACGUG